rnacentral:rRNA from 1 species
GACGAACGCUGGCGGCGUGCUUAACACAUGCAAGUCGAGCGAUGAAGCUUCUUCGGAAGUGGAUUAGCGGCGGACGGGUGAGUAACACGUGGGUAACCUGCCUUAUAGUGGGGAAUAGCCUUUCGAAAGGAAGAUUAAUACCGCAUAAGAUUGUAGUUUCGCAUGAAACAGCAAUUAAAGGAGCAAUUCGCUAUAAGAUGGACCCGCGGCGCAUUAGCUAGUUGGUGAGGUAACGGCUCACAAGGCGACGAUGCGUAGCCGACCUGAGAGGGUGAUCGGCCACAUUGGGACUGAGACACGGCCCAGACUCCUACGGGAGGCAGCAGAGGGGAAUAUUGCACAAUGGGGGAAACCCUGAUGCAGCAACGCCGCGUGAGUGAUGACGGUCUUCGGAUUGUAAAGCUCUGUCUUUAGGGACGAUAAUGACGGUACCUAAGGAGGAAGCCACGGCUAACUACGUGCCAGCCGCCGCAGUAAUAC